AAUAGAUACCCCGGUAGUCCACGCUGUAAACGUUGGACACUAGGUGUGGCGGUCUGAUCAACGACUGCCGUGCCGAAGCUAACGCAUUAAGUGUCCCGCCUGGGGAGUACGGCCGCAAGGCUAAAACUCAAAGGAAUUGACGGGUCCCCGCACAAGCGGCGGAGCAUGCGGCUUAAUUCGAUGCAACCCGAAGAACCUUACCUGGGUUUGACAUCAUGGGAAAAGCCGUGGAAACACGGUGUCCGAAAGGGCCCAUGACAGGUGGUGCAUGGCUGUCGUCAGCUCGUGUCGUGAGAUGUUGGGUUAAGUCCCGCGGCGAGCGCAACCCCUGUCCUAUGUUGCCAGCGGUUCGGCCGGGGACUCAUAGGAGACUGCCGGGGAUAACUCGGAGGAAGGUGAGGACGAUGUCAAGUCAUCAUGCCCCUUAUAUCCAGGGCUGCACGCAUGCUACAAUGGUCGGUACAGAGAGAUGCUAAACCGCGAGGUGAGCCAAACUUUAAAACCAGUCUCAGUUCGGAUUGUAGGCUGAAACUCG
rnacentral:rRNA from 1 species